ensembl:lncRNA
GAGAGAGAGAGAGAGAGAGAGAGAGAGAGAGAGAUGAGGAGGGGUGAGAGAGAGAGAGAGAGAGAGAGAGAGAGAGAGAGAGAGAGACACUUCUGUCUUUGUGUUAUGAGGACUGGAGGUGUUGAGCUGGGUAAGGGGCGACAGCUCAUUAAGCUCCAUCACCCUUUAGCGUCCACGCUAUGAGCAGAGAGCAACUGGACGGUCCUGCUGCUGCAGUAGGGAAGCCAUCUUUCUCCGCUCUUCACACACACACACACACACACACACACACACACACAACAGUGGGACGUGGAUAAUGAAUGCAGCUUUAGUGUCUACCGCUGAACGAGUGCUGCUGCGAGUGGUGUAGGAGGUGUGUGAUUGCUAUCGAGAGCAUCGAGAGCCUCCUUCAUUCUCCAUCUCUCUGCUUUCUGAUGUUCUGCUUGCUUUUGUUUGUUUUCUCUCUCCCUCUCCCUCUCCC